UACAGGGGGGGCAAGCGUUGUUCGGAAUUACUGGGCGUAAAGGGCUCGUAGGUGGCCAACUAAGUCAGACGUGAAAUCCCUCAGCUUAACUGGGGAACUGCGUCUGAUACUGGAUGGCUUGAGUUUGGGAGAGGGAUGCGGAAUUCCAGGUGUAGCGGUGAAAUGCGUAGAUAUCUGGAGGAACACCGGUGGCGGAGGCGGCUACCUGGACAGAAACUGACGCUGAGGCGCGAAAGCGUGGGGAGCGAACAGG
rnacentral:rRNA from 1 species